rnacentral:ncRNA from 1 species
UUAACUGCGUUGAAAAGAAAUAGUAUCUUAUGCAAAGCUAUCAGAGAGUUUUUGGUUGGUGUGAAAAAACAGUGGCGCAUUUGGGAACACAUCUUUGAGCUGUACCUGCAAAAUUUCUAAAGAAAGAGUAGUGGGUGCCGGGAAUCCUUGUCAUCCGUUACCAAGACUAGAGUAUGAUUGUACUCGAUGAGGUCAGGCGCCGUGAGGUGUUUGAUGAAAUAAGGUGGAACCACGAAGAGAUAUCGUCCUUAGU